rnacentral:lncRNA from 1 species
CCUCCUCCUCAACCCUACGUCGAGGCCUGCCUCGACGCCUCCCUCGACCACUCCCUGAACGUGACCCUGACCCUGAACCAGUCCCUGCCGCGGCCAGUCUCUCGCAAAUCGACGUGAGCUUCCUGAUACCGCCCACCAUUGCUUAAUGACCUGCAAUUAAAAAGAGUACACGAGUCAGCAUAGGCAAACAAAACAUAAUUAGAAAUAUAUGCAAAUUACAAGUAAUUAUAGCUAAAUUAUUACGAAUCAUACAUGUAUUAGAAAUAAUCAUCAUGAUCGGGAUUAGCUGGAUCAUAAGUCUCAUCAUCACUAUCAUGCGUGUCGAUAUAGUCAAGCUCGUGCUCCGAAGAAGAAAUGUCGUCAUCACUGUCAUUAUCUAACUGUAAUCGUUGAAGUAAUUCUAAGUCCUUCACAUUUUGAACCUCGUCUCCACCGUCUUCUGCAGCAACCCUCUCAUUGUCUACUUCCAUUCCGAUCGCUUCGGUUAAAUCUAUCACAAAACUCCCUUCGAGCCCAUCUUCUUGGAAUAACUCUCCUUCGUACGUGUCGGGGUCUAUAUUGUAAUCUUCAUUGUUUGGUACAGGUAGUUUACCGUGUGGUGAUACCUUGUACACAACAUCCCAACCCUUAAGACGGCUGUCGGUUUGGCACGGGUAUGACAAAUAAUAAACUUGCGUGGCCUGUUGAGCCACAAUAUAGACAUCGUCUCCUGGUAACCUGGAUGACUGUCGAAUUUCGACUAGCCCAAGGUUAGGGGCCCGUCUCACGACAGAUGGAUCAAACCAAUGGCAUUUGAAUAUAACUGGAUUAAGAGGUUUACACCCAUGAAAAGUGAGUUCGUAUAUUUCUUCAAUUCUUCCGUAGUACUCGACUCCAUUGGAGCCUGGCGUGAAAACUCCAGUAUUUGUGGUUCUUCGAUUGGGCCGACUCUGCUCGUGCCUUGUUGUGUGAAACCUAUAUCCGUUGACGUCAUAAUCGGCAAACGACCUGACCCUAUAGUCACAGCCAUCGGCAACCUGUCUCAACUCGACAUUCAUAGACGCAUCGGUUCGGCCCUGCAAGUACGAACAGGGCGGUUCGUUAUAUUAAUCGUAUGCACGAGUAUCUAGAAUGUUCGCGGAAAUGAAGGGGUUACCUUCUGUUUGAACCAAGAAAUGAAAUCGGGCAUUCCAUUUCCCGCACCCUCUUUAAGAAGAGUCUCAGCUUCGUGCGGGGUCGGUUGCCUUGAUUUACGCCAGAAUUGACGAUGAAAUUGCCUAUGCCAACGAGAAAGAUACGUUUAGGCAAGAGAUACCAUUAAUACGUCGAAAUAAGUUUGUCGAUGACUUACAUCAUGUACGGCUCCACUUCAGAUAGGUUGGUCAACACAUAUAGCAUGAUAGAGCGCCACUCUUCAUGAUUAAGGGUCUUGCGGGUCGCACCACUUGCACUUCUGAGUUGCCCUCGGAAAAUGCUAAGGCUUAAUUCAUCUUCGCUAGCAUUGUAACGAGGAGGUGGAUUAUGCACACUAGGAAGGUUCUCAGCGUAGUAUUUCGAUGUGAAGUUUGACACCUCCUCCAGAAUGUAUGCCUCUGCAAUGGAUGCUUCAAUUUUGCACUUAUUCUUACAUUUAGUUCGAAGAACCUUUUGACAUCUCUCAAUUGAGUAGCACCAACGACCCUGCACAGGCCCCCCCAUUCGUGCUUCAUACGGGAGGUGUAGAAUCAUAUGCUGCAUUGGAUUGAAGAAGCCUGGAGGAAAGAUCUUCUCCAACUUACAAAGCAACACAGGCGCCAUUGUUUCCAUUUCUGCAACCACGGUACGAGAUAACUCCUUCGCACAAAGCCGGCGGAAGAAAUUGCUCAACUCCGCUAGCACCUGCCACACAUGCUCAGGGACAUAGCCUCGAACCAUCACCGGAAGGAGGCGCUCAAGCCAUAUAUGGUAAUCAUGACUCUUGAGCCCGUUGAUUCGCAUAGUUGCUAAAUUCACUCCCCUCUUCAAGUUCGCUGCAUAGCCAUCAGGGAACAUUAAUGUUUGGAACCAUUCUAGAACCUCCCUCCUUUGAGCCCUCGUCAGAACAAAAUCGGCCUUAGGCUUCCUCCAUGACUUGCCAGCUCUUGGAGGCGCCAUGUUUAGCUGUGGUCUGUUGCACAAUGUCGCUUGAUCCACUCUAGCCUUAACGUUAUCCUUUGUCUUGUCAGGAAUGUCCAUUAUGGUACCAAAAAUUGCCUCGGCGAUAUUUUUUUCCGUGUGCAUUACAUCAAUGUUAUGUGGAACAAGGAGAUCAUCAAAAUAUGGAAGCUUCCACAAGCACGACUUCUGCGUCCAAGCAUGUUGCUCGCCAUAUCCCAAAAAACCACCUUCUUCAUUAUUGAACUCAAGAGCGUCUAACUGAGCACGAACUGCGGCCCCUGUCAUCAUCGGCGGUGCGGGGGCUGUAACUACAACAUCUUUGGUAAAGUUCUUCAUGUCUCGUCUAAAUGGAUGGUCAGGAGGGAGAAAUUGUCGAUGUUUGUCGAACGAUGAAUAUUUACCCCCUUUCGACAACCAAAUGAACUUCAAAGAUGCUUUACAUACUGGGCAAGGGAACUUCCCGUGAACACACCAUCCGGAGAAAAUCCCAUAUGCCGGCAAGUCAUGCAGUGAGUACUGGUACCAAACAUGCAUCUUGAAGUUUGUCUUUGUGGAUCGGUCAUAGGUCCAUACCCCUUCCUCCCAAGCACGGAGCAAAUCAUCAAUCAGAGGCUCCAUAUACACACUCAUAUUAUUUCCCGGAUGCUCUGGAAUUAUCAACGACAAGAAUAUAUUAUGUCGUUGAAAUAGGACGCCGGGUGAGAGAUUCAGUGGGAUAACGAAAAUGGGCCAACAGGUGUACGGGGCGGCCGCCAUUCCAUAGGGAUUGAACCCAUCAGUUGCCAACGCAACGCGUACGUUACGGGCCUCUAGAGCUUUUGCAGGAUAAAUCGCAUCAAAGCUUCUCCAGGCUUCAGCAUCGGAUGGGUGUACCAGCUUCUCUGGAUUAUAGCGACGGCCAUUUUUGUGCCAUGUCAUCUGUUUCGCGGAUUCUUCAGUCAUGAAAAGCCGUUGGAUCCUCGGUAUGAAAGGAAGAUACCGUAGAACCUUCACAGGAAUUGCGAGCUGCUUUUUCUGACCGUCACCAGAAUCAACCUCCAGAAAUCUAGACGAUUCACACUUCACACAGUAUUUUGCUUCCGCAUACUCUUUCCUAAAUAAGAUGCAUCCCUUCGGGCAUGCAUGUAUGUGCUCGUAUGGCAUCUUAAGUGCACGAAGGAGUUUCUGUGCCUCAUACAUGCUCUUUGGCAAGAUGUGACCAACCGGGAGCAGGCUUCCAAAAACUGUCAACAUAAUAUCAAACGCGUCUCGACUCAAACUAAACUGAGACUUCACAGCCAUUAGACGUGCAAUGGCAUCUAGCUGAGAAACCUUGGUAUGGCCGUGAAGGGGUUGCUGUGCCGCAGACAACAUUUCGUAAUAAGCCUUAGCGGUAGCCUCUGGCUCCUCCUCCCUACGUGCCUCUUCGAAGUGUGCUUCAUGAAAGUCAUUCAACAUAUCUCCCACCCCGGCAUCAUCAUCAAAUUCCUCGAUUCGUUGUCUCAAGACCUCCUCUCUCCCUCAGUCAGAUUCACCAUGGUAGAUCCACCUGGUGUAGUCUGACGUAAAUCCGUUCUUCACCAGAUGUUUGCCCAUCUCCAGCUUGGUUUGCCGACGCAUGUUUCCACAUUUGCUGCACGGACACCAAGUCGAUCGAGCUCCAUUGACACUUGCAAACGCUCGUUCCAAGAAAGCAUCCGUCUUGUCAAGCCAUUCAUUGGUCAACGUAUUCUGACUAGUGCGACCCGUGUACAUCCACUGACGAUCCUCCAUCCUCUACCAUUUAAAUAAGUAAUACAAAAUUCACAUGGCAUAUACACGUUCCUAUAUUGUCUACUAGGUAAAGAUAGGUCCUAAUCCCACCCCAGGAUGUGUAGGUGGGUUUAGUAUCCAUUGAAACUAACCAAUGUCUAGAUAAUAUUUCGGCNNNNNNNNNNNNNNNNNNNNNNNNNNNNNNNNNNNNNNNNNNNNNNNNNNNNNNNNNNNNNNNNNNNNNNNNNNNNNNNNNNNNNNNNNNNNNNNNNNNNGCUGGGAACUUAAAUUUUAUCUCGGGCCGGAGUAGACCAUGGAUACUAAACCCACCUACACAUCCUCGGGCUGUCCAAAAAACGUGGACAAUUCGAAACAGAUACAAUUAUAGAUAUGCAAAGAUCUGCAUAUUUCCAACCGUAUCUCUUUCGAACGGGAGACGCCUAACUAGGUUACGUGAUAUACGAACAUUAUACGGAAAUAGAGGUGUAGCAUGCCUCACCUUGCUAUCCUGCAAAGUGACGAGUCGAGGACGGUCCUUGUAAGCCUCUCC